UGGCCUAUAGCUUAACGGCAGAGCGAUUGACUGUUAAUCAAUUAGGUGCUGGUUCGAAUCCAGCUAGGUCAGC
rnacentral:tRNA from 13 species